CAGCCGCCGCGGUAAUACCGGCGGCCCGAGUGGUGGCCGCUAUUAUUGGGCCUAAAGCGUCCGUAGCCGGGCCCGUAAGUCCCUGGCGAAAUCCCACGGCUCAACCGUGGGGCUUGCUGGGGAUACUCCCAGCCUAGGGAGCGGGAGAGGCCGAGGGUAUUCCCGGAGUAGGGGUGAAAUCCUAUAAUCCCGGGAGGACCACCUGUGGCGAAGGCGCUCGGCUGGAACGCGUCCGACGGUGAGGGACGAAGGCCAGGGGAGCAAACCGGAUUAGAUACCCGGGUAGUCCUGGCUGUAAACGAUGCGGACUUUGUGUCGGACAAGCUAUGAGCUUGUCCGGUGCCGGAGGGAAACCGUUAAGUCCGCCGCCUGGGGAGUACGGCCGCAAGGCUGAAACUUAAAGGAAUUGGCGGG
rnacentral:rRNA from 1 species